CCCUCGUGGGUGACGAAUUACAUAAAUAUUUUACGAGCGCUGACUUACCCCUCUCGACGUUUUGACAGUUUGUCUGAUUGUUUUUCUCCCUCACCUUGCGUCGUCGUUUCGGUUUUGAAUCGACGCAUAAAUAAAUAUUAAUCCGUAUCAAAAUUGAUAUGUUUCUUUGUGCGGGGUGUAGUAAAUGAGAGCCGCUUCCAUUAUAAAAAAUCGGAGAGGAUUUAUUUGACCGGAACCUGGUUCGCUGUUCGCUCUUGUCAUCGUCACCGAAAAAUUGGCAAAAAAUGUGUGGUGCACGGCUGCGGAAGCCGAACCGGAGAUACGGUUUCAUUUUACGGAUUUCCGAACGAUCCUGGCACGUUAACGCAGUGGCUUCAUUUCUGUGAUCAGGUGGAAAUGCGUGAAGCAGGACAAAGCAAGGAUGUGUUCAAGUUCCGGCAUGUAUGCUCAAAGCACUUUGAGAGGGCAGCAUUUAAGAAUCCAUUGAUCGUAUCUUUAGGAUUACAAAAGCAUGCGGUUCCCACUAUCAAAACGCUGAACCCCACCGCAGUGGAGGACAACGUAUUGGAUUACGAGUCACAGUACAUCGAACUUUUAAGCAGCGACAUGACCGUUGAUACUGGUGUUGUUGAAGAACAAAUAGAUUAUGCAUUCAGAAAAACCGGUCGGUCAGUUAAAUCACCAAAACGGUAAAAUUUUAAACUUCAUAAUUCCGCAGCUGGAGGUUGCCAGGAUAGUGCAGGGGUGCAGGGCGCAUGCUAGUACCGUACAAAGUGUACUCUCGUGUGUAUUGAAUAUUUUCGGAGAAUGCACGAAGAAGCACAGCAGUCCUCCCAACCCCUCUACUGGGCUUCCGGAUUUUCGAUAUUUGCAGAAGACAACCUGUACCAACGCACUCGACAUAUUCACAGAAUUCCAAGCGGUGGUCAUGCACAGUUCUUCGUUACAAUCCACAACGGAUUCUAGAUUAGCGUACAUUCCACAGCAGAAGCCAUUUUCUCAUCUCACAACGUGGAAUUCGGACGACCGCUUCUGUGCGUGUGCAGCCAAAGACCCAGCACAUUAGUAUACUGCAAAACUCCGAAGGCCGAUAAAGUUGUACGUUGUGUUGCUAAAAGCUUCAACCAGUCGUAGAAAAAAUCACUUUUCCGGCAACUCCAACAUAGAGAUCUUCUCGAUACUCGAUACUAUUUACAUGCUGCCUCACUUGUCGUAACCGGAUCAUCCUCGUGGAAGUGACUGUAUAAUGGUGACCUGAAUGGUGAUGGUGAAUGGUGAUCGAUCUAUUUAAUGAUCGAAUAAACUGGAAAAGGAGACAAAAUCAUACAACGGGCCGUUCAAGAUGUAGAAAUCGCAAGAUGGAAAUGUAACGAGACGCGAAAGGGGAGGCUGAUAUUCCGUUUUGCAUCAAGGGCUGGUAUUUGAUGUUGCUAUCGCAGACUUUGA